rnacentral:sRNA from 1 species
GCUAAGUGUGGGGGUGCAUGCCUGUAAUCCCAGCAGCUUGGGAGGCUGAGGCAGGAGGAUCACGAGUUCAAGGCCAUCCUCAGCAACUUAGCGGGGCCCUGAGCAACUCAGUGAGACCCUGUCUCUA